rnacentral:rRNA from 1 species
CACGUAGGGUGCAAGCGUUGUCCGGAAUUAUUGGGCGUAAAGAGUUCGUAGGCGGUUUGUCGCGUCCGUUGUGAAAGCUUGGGGCUCAACCCCAAGUCUGCAGUAGAUACGGGCAGACUAGAGUCAGGUAGGGGAGAACGGAAUUCCCGGUGUAGUGGUGGAAUGCGUAGAUAUCGGGAGGAACACCAGUGGCGAAGGCGGCUUCCUGGACCGGUUCUGACACUGAGGAGCGAAAGCGUGGGGAGCGGAUCCGG